rnacentral:lncRNA from 1 species
CAGAAACUUAAGAAAAAGCCAGGAGCCAAGAUAAGGUAAGGCUACUACAUAAAAUAAAAUUUUAAGCUGUAUACUUAUUUUUCAGACAUGAAAGAAAGCCCCACAAUAUUCAAAUUCUGUGAAGUCUACUGUAUACAAAUACUGAAUCCAUAAAAUUCCCAUGUGGAUUUGUCACAUCCAUUUGGGAACAAUGCCCCAGUCACCUGUCAUCAUCAAGAAAAGGUGGUUUAUAUCCUGUCAGCUUCACACCUAAUGUGUUUAGGAAGCCAGAGAUUCAAACACAAUCAGGCAUGAGGUUGGGCUCACGUGACAGGGUAGGUCCUUCCUCCAGGUCACCCUUCAUGCAUAUAAAGACAUAGAGAAUACAUGGCAGAAGUGGUAGCUCUCAUGAGAACAUGGCAGGAAACAUCAUAGAAAAAGGCAGUCUUGUCCUGCAAUUUUUAAACCAAUGUUUACAAUUCUGCUGUGGGAAGAUGAGUCUGUUACAUCCUACGUGGUCUUGCACAUAUUCUCUAUGUUUCUAACAAUUUAAUUCAGCAACACAAUUUUUCUAUAGAAAAUAACUUUUGGAGAAUGUGAGUACAUUUACACAUCAUUUCAUUGUCUGUACAGUCAUUGUCUGCUCUGCAAUCCUGCCACAUGUAGAGCAUGAACCUUCAUAUCUCCUGGGAAGUGCCUAGUCCUUUAAAUUUGACACUAUCAGUGAAGAAUCACAGUUUUAAGAGACCCCUAUGUCCAGGUUGCUGGCUCAUAAACAACUUUAACAAAAAAAAGAACCAUGGAAUCAAAACAACAUAUUCCUGGUAAGGUAUGUUCAUUUACGCAACAGGCUGUUCCAACAGAGCUUUUAACAAGAUAGAUGAAAUUGGGUAAGUGAUAAUUUAACCAAUGAUUAAAAUGUUUUCUCGUACACUGUAAUAAUGCCAAGUUCUAAAUCCUUUUCUUUUUUUCUUUUUUUUUCCCCCACAGCUCCCUGGAUCUUAAAAUCAGUUAAUUAGAAAGAAAUUGCAUUUUUCAUUUUUGAGGAGUGUGCAAAAACUACAACUCUAUGUGUCAUAUUUAAAAAAAAAAAAAGAUAAAAAUCAAACACCUUAGAUAACAAAGGAAAAAAGAAUAUGAUGUGUUGAAUUCAAAGUUCCAUGUUUUCUAUGUCUUACGGCAAACAAAACUGAUGAUUGUACCUGAGUCAAGGUAACCACACCAAGACUUAUCUGUCAGAAGUCCAAGCAGCGGCACUGCAAAGAAUGAGGGACACCAGGGAACAUCACUUGUGCUCCUGAACUGCUCUGAGGCUCAUAUGCAGCAUCAGGUGAUCGAUCCAGCGGCACACAGUUACACAUCACAUUAAAACUGAGGCUACUCCAUGGGCAGCAGCAGGGCAAACUUCCUGAUUGUGCCUCAUCCGCACAGGGUAACCGUGUU